UGCGCGCAAGUACUAAAGUCCAUCGUUAGUGUCACUGCUAUGACAACAGGCUUCAAGCAAGUUGAUGAGGCACACGUAAAAUGUGAUUUAAAAAAAUCUGAACUGCGAACCACAGACAGGCUCGUCUUGUUAGAGUAGCAUGUCUCUGUUCAAGGCGUGUGAUUGGUGAGCCGCGGUGCUGGGGGAGGAGUUUGACCAGGGAUGCCUGUGUGUCAGAGAUGUGGACAACAGCGGACAUGAUAAGAUAGUGGUGGGCAACUACAUGGGCAUGCUGCGGGUCUUCUCCCCCCACCCUGCCAAGCCUGGAGAGCCAGGCCCACAGCCAGCUACUGGAGGUGCAGCUCAGAGACCCCGUCAUCCAGGUUGAAGUGGGCAAGUUUUUCUCGUACUGCUGGUAAUGUGGAGCAUGGGGUUCAGUACCAGCUCAAGCGGGUCUAUGAGCACAUCCUCCAGAGGACCGCUUGCAACAUGACUUAUGGAACCUUCGGAGGGGUCACAUGUUACACAUCACAUGAGCAGCUCAAAUACUUCACAUGUAACAGAUAUGCAUUGACAGUUUAGUCACAAACCACACACACUUUUUUCAUUUUUUUUUUUAGUUAAUUCAUUGCCCUUUCAUUU